ACUCCUACGGGAGGCAGCAGUGGGAAUAUUGCACAAUGGGCGCAAGCCUGAUGCAGCCAUGCCGCGUGUAUGAAGAAGGCCUUCGGGUUGUAAAGUACUUUCAGCAGUGAGGAAGGCGGGUACGUUAAUAGCGUGCUCGUUUGACGUUAGCUGCAGAAGAAGCACCGGCUAACUCCGUGCCAGCAGCCGCGGUAAUACGGAGGGGGUUAGCGUUGUUCGGAAUUACUGGGCGUAAAGCGCGCGUAGGCGGAUUAGUCAGUUAGAGGUGAAAUCCCAGGGCUCAACCCUGGAACUGCCUUUAAUACUGCUAGUCUUGAGUUCGAGAGAGGUGAGUGGAAUUCCGAGUGUAGAGGUGAAAUUCGUAGAUAUUCGGAGGAACACCAGUGGCGAAGGCGGCUCACUGGCUCGAUACUGACGCUGAGGUGCGAAAGUGUGGGGAGCAAACAGGAUUAGAUACCCUGGUAGGCUCUGCU
rnacentral:rRNA from 1 species